rnacentral:rRNA from 1 species
CGUCUAGGCGGCCGUCUAUGUCCCGCGUGAAAGCUCUCGGCUCAACUGGGAGAGGGCGCGGGAAACUGGGCGGCUAGAGACUCGGAGAGGGGUGUGGAAUUCCCGGUGGAGUGGUGAAAUGCGUUGAGAUCGGGAGGAACACCAGAGGCGAAGGCGGCACCCUGGCCGAGGACUGACGCUGAAGCGCGAGAGCGUGGGGAGCGAACG